rnacentral:rRNA from 1 species
UCAGGUGACUAUAGCAUCAGGGUUCCACCUCUUCCCAUUCCGAACAGAGAAGUUAAGCCUGAUCACGCCGAUGGUACUGCGUAAAAGUGGGAGAGUAGGUAGUCGCCGUUU